rnacentral:rRNA from 1 species
AUGCGUAUGUUGAGAUGGAUGUGUGGCCACACGAGGAAGGAUCGAGUCCGGAAUGAUGAUAUACGAGAUAGAGUUGGGGUAGCACCAAUUGAGGAGAAGCUUGUCCAACAUCGUCUGAGAUGGUUUGGGCAUAUUCAGCGCAGGCCUCCAGAAGCUCCAAUGCAUAGCGGAUGGCUAAAGCGUGCGGAGAAUGUCAAGAGAGGGCGGGGUAGGCUGAAUUUGACAUGGGAGGAGUCCGUUAAGAGAGACCUGAAGGAGUGGAGUAUCACCAAAGAGCUAACUAUGGACAGGGGUGCGUGGAAGCUUGCUAUCCAUGAGCCAGAGCCAUGA